CGGGUGAGUAACACGUGGUCAACCUUCCCUUUAUGGGGGAUAACUAGCCGAAAGGUUAGCUAAUACCGCAUACGAUUUAUGAGUGGCAUCAUUUAUAAAUGGAAGUAGCAAUACGCUAAAGGAUGGGACCGCGUCCCAUUAGCUAGAUGGUGGGGUAAAGGCCUACCAAGGCAUCGAUCAGUAGCUGGUCUGAGAGGACGACCAGCCACACUGGAACUGAGACACGGUCCAG
rnacentral:rRNA from 1 species